ensembl:snRNA U6 U6 spliceosomal RNA
GUGCUUGCUUCCACAGCACAUAUACUAAAAUUGCAACAAUACAGAGAAAAUUAGCAUUGCCCCUGCAUAAGGAUGACACACAAAUACAAUAGCAUGAAACGAAUAAAAUACUU